UUGACUCCUCCCCCAAGAUGACUACUGCUGGUCCCCCAAAGAGGCUUUUCACUGCUAAUGAACUUAAAUCUUCCCUGAUACCACCCCCUCUUCUUUUCUUCAGAAACUAAACAGAAACUAUAGAUGAAAUGUAAAGACUUUUAAAGGUGAUACAAUUUACAUAAAGAACUUUCAGUGAACAGAAGCAACCCCAUUCCAGAUGCUGUUGAAAAUGAUUAGCUGAAUACAUUGAGGACAAGACUACAGAUACAAGUGGACACAGUUUUUAAGGUCAUUGAAAUUCAAAAAGAAGACUACAAUUGGAUAAUUGGACAAUAUUUACAAGAACACUGUAUUACUUCAAGGACUACUAUAAAUGGACAGUAUUUUAAGGAUACCAAACUUUGCAUUUAAAUAAAAUGUUUCUCAUAUGUAAAGGUUUGAAGACGUUUACAAGGAGCACUCUGGAAAAUUGGAGGAAGAUAAAGGAUGAAGGACUGAAGCCCGAAAGUGUUUCCCUUUUGGAGUGACCUACCGGGAUAUGUGAAGUCCAUGGAGGAUGACAGAAAGCAUCCGAUGGCAAGAAAAUCUGCCCAGAAAAAGGACAGACUGCAGAGCUUUCUGGCACAGGACACCAGGAAAAAACAGCAAAUGAGCUGGGAAGAUCAUCACUGCCCUAUAGGCAGGUCUGAUGCAAUAUCCACACAAAUGUACUGGUAUGAAAAACAAUUUGCCUACAGAAGAAUAUCGUUAAGUCACUUACAGAUAUUCUGUUCUACAAAAAUAUGGGUAUUUGUUAUAAGAUCAAACUUUAUCACAUACCUGAAAAUUUCAAAUGGUAUUGGUACAAUAGGUAACUUACAAUUAUUUUAUUGGAAUUGUUCCACGUUACCCAAAUAUGAUCAAAUAUCAAAUGGUACAAUUGGGAAGGUUAUGACAGUACAAUAAAUACUGUCCAAUUGCAGCACAAACUGUUGUUCUUAUCCAAAAUGUACAUAUGAGUAUUGUCUUGAAGGGUCCAUUAUAUUUUCAAACAACAGUAUGUCUUUAUUAGAAUCAGACUUAUCUAAAAGUCAAUUUUGUUAGCUAUGGCAUUUCAACUUUCAUAAGAAAGAAGGGUGGAUAUGGUAUCACUAACCAUCUAUCUCUCCCACACCCUAAAACGAAUAGAAGUUAAAACUAUGCAAUAACAGUUUGACUAUAAUGUUAAAGAUUACAUUGUAUGAUAUAUCUGAAAUGGAUUGAAUAUCAACAAGAAAUUAAGACUGUAAGGGACCCAAGGGGAUGAUAACGUUGGGUCGAGGUCUUGUUUGUAUGUUUACAGAUAGUGGAAACAUCUGGUCACCCACAAAGCACAUAAUGCCAGCCAACACGAGACCAGGAAGAGAAGUAGACGAACGCUGUUGACAAGAGCUAACUACACACUAGCCACAAUCCAGGCAUGCUGGAAGGACACUUCACUGGUGACUAAUAUCACUCCAGAAGACUGACAUGACACUAUUAGUAACAUUUGCUAUUAGGAUACUGAUGGACACUUGCCAUGCUGAAAUCCAUUGAUAUAUGGUACCCAAACCAAUAGCAAGUAUGUUAACUCAGAAGGUCUAAACCACACUUGUGGCUGUCUAACACACCAGAUAAAUCUCACACUCCAGAGUCUUUAUUAUGGAAUCGAAACAAAAUAGCUACAAUUGUUUAGAUACUAAUGUAUACCUUGCAUUUUGUAUGUCUAUGAUACUGUCAAAAGAAAUUUAUUUUGUAUGCAUUGUAAAACUACUUAUUGUAUUGUGAGAAGUGCUAUUAUCAACAAGGGUAUAGACAUUGGUAUGACUCUCUAAAGAGUAGGAGAUAGAAAAUUUUCAUUCAUAGCAUAGAUCUAAUACCUCUGACAACAAAAAAUGGGGUGCUAAGCAGAAAAUGCUGCACAGACAUGUUUAAUGGACAGAUGAUCCUGAUGUUACUCUCAAAAAAGGAUGAGAGAUCAGGCAAAAUACACUCUGAAAUCUUUAAUCAGGAACCUAAGUUAUUGAAAAAGAUCAUUUACAUCCAUGCAAAGAUUAUGUUCCUGGCAAUACCUAAGUGGAAGAGAUUAUUACACACAUACAUGGGGCAAGGGCAAAGUAUAAUCUAAGUUUCCCUUUUUUGGAGUAUGUAUUGAAAAUAUGAUACAAUAGGCACGGGUAAGCUUGUAGAAAAAGCACAUUGAAUAUUAUACAUUAACAACUAGGAAAGAAAAAGCUACAUCAAAUUCUAUAAGUACAAGAACCUGUAGAAAUUGCUUCUACAUGAAAAACAACUUAAGCUUCUAUUUACCCAAACAUUGGUUUGGUGGAAUGAAUUUUGCAAACAUUGGUAAAGUUACAUGCUUGGUUAUCGUAUUGAUGGGUUUAUUUAGACAAGCAGAAAUUUAAAUAAGGAUGAGAUAAGAAAUAUGCAGCCAGAACUUGAAAUGUCACUUCAUUAUCAUCAUCCUGGGUAUUUAAACUACAAAUCAGAAUGUAAUGUGUAUGGGAAUAUUGGUAUUUGUUAUAAAUUUCACAAUAAUUGUUGUAUUAAUGUUUUUACAAAGAUUUUAAUGGUUGAAAAAUUAUGCUCAUGUACAAGGCGAAUUUUGGUCAAUUUAGAUUAGGAAUUAGAAAUCAUUUGGAAUGAAAAUUCUGAUAUUACAUAUUGGCUCAGCUUCAACCACACCACAUAAACAGUGAGCCAAGAGUUUAAAAUUUGGUAUUAAUUUUGGGAUCAUGUUCCCAGAAUCAUUUUCUCUGAUUAUUUGGUACAUGAUAUACAUGAUCCUCCAGAAUUGUUCAGAGAGGAUGUUUUUCUUUGAAGGGAUCUCUCCCAACAAACAAAAAAAAGGGAGAAGAAUCUUAAAGAUAUCAGUAUUUUCACUUUUUAGAACACUUUUGAUUCACUUUCUAUUAUUCAAUCUUGAUUUUUCUUUUGUACAACUGUUGCCAAAAUUUUUAGUACAUGGAAAGUACAAUUAACACUCUGAUCCUGGAUUACAAAGGUACAAGAAUUUUACUGUUACAGGCAUCCGAAAGUAUGAGACUACAAGAACCUGACAGUAUUUGUUAAAUUUCAAAUGACUAUUCUGGAAAGUGGAGUCUGAUUGCACGUAAAGGGAAUCAUAAUGAGUGUCUCUUCAUGAAACAGACAGCCAUAGCCACACGCAGAUGCAUAUUCCAUGUGAGAUGGAUGUUUAAAGUUGGGGAUGCUGGGACGUGGUGUUCUGAUGCUCUCAUCCACUGGUCAUUCUGGCAUUGAACUUCCAACCAGUUUCCUAUGUGGCAGGCAUCUGGAAGAGCACGUACGGAUCCCUAAGAUGCAGAAUCAGUACGAGAGAAAGGAAGGAUUUAUCCUUCGUCUCCAGAGGCAGUCUUUUUGUUAACUGUUGUAAGAUCUGACAACUUCUUACAGUCAUGGUUUGUGAAGGGUGGCAUGAUUGUCUAAUGCACCUGUCCUGUGAACCAUAAAAUUUCUACCUCAUCUAACCAGGAUCAUUGCAGUGAAAAUUAUUUUCUUAAUGUUUUUAG